rnacentral:miRNA from 1 species
CCGCAUUAAUUUCUUCUAGACUUGCUCCAAGUCUCUCUUUCAUUGUCAUAUAGUAUCGAUCCACUAUAGUGUACAAUGUACACUAUAGUGGAUCGAUACUUAUGACAAUGAAAGAGAGACUUGGAGCAAGUCUAACUUUCUUCUUG